UGACCUCAAAUCAGGUAGGAUUACCCGCUGAACUUAAGCAUAUCAAUAAGCGGAGGAAAAGAAACUAACAAGGAUUCCCCUAGUAACUGCGAGUGAAGCGGGAAAAGCUCAAAUUUAAAAUCUGGCAGCCUUUGGCUGUCCGAGUUGUAAUCUAGAGAAGUGCUAUCCGCGCUGGACCGUGUACAAGUCUCCUGGAAUGGAGCGUCAUAGAGGGUGAGAAUCCCGUCUUUGACACGGACUGCCAGGGCUUUGUGAUGUGCUCUCGAAGAGUCGAGUUGUUUGGGAAUGCAGCUCAAAAUGGGUGGUAAAUUCCAUCUAAAGCUAAAUAUUGGCGAGAGACCGAUAGCGAACAAGUACCGUGAGGGAAAGAUGAAAAGAACUUUGGAAAGAGAGUUAAACAGUACGUGAAAUUGCUGAAAGGGAAACGCUUGAAGUCAGUCGCGUUGUCCAGGGAUCAACCUUGCUUUUGCUUGGUGCACUUUCUGGUUGACGGGUCAGCAUCAAUUUUGACCAUUGGAAAAAGAUUAGGGGAAUGUGACAUCUUAGGAUGUGUUAUAGCCCUUGGUUGCAUACAAUGGUUGGGAUUGAGGAACUCAGCACGCCGCAAGGCCGGGUUUUAACCACGUACGUGCU
rnacentral:rRNA from 1 species